GGUUCUAUGGUCUAGCGGUUUAGGACUCCAGAUUUUGAUUCUGGCAACCCCGGUUCGAUCCCGGGUAGGACCU
rnacentral:tRNA from 2 species